rnacentral:rRNA from 1 species
CCUACGGGAGGCAGCAGUGAGGAAUAUUGGUCAAUGGACGAGAGUCUGAACCAGCCAAGUAGCGUGAAGGAUGACUGCCCUAUGGGUUGUAAACUUCUUUUAUAUGGGAAUAAAAUGUUCCACGUGUGGGAUUUUGUAUGUACCAUAUGAAUAAGGAUCGGCUAACUCCGUGCCAGCAGCCGCGGUAAUACGGAGGAUCCGAGCGUUAUCCGGAUUUAUUGGGUUUAAAGGGAGCGUAGGUGGAUUGUUAAGUCAGUUGUGAAAGUUUGCGGCUCAACCCGGGCCGGCCGUUGAAACUGGGGAUCUUGAGUGGGCGAGAAGUAUGCGGAAUGCGUGGUGUAGCGGUGAAAUGCAUAGAUAUCACGCAGAACUCCGAUUGCGAAGGCAGCAUACCGGCGCCCGACUGACGCUGAGGCACGAAAGCGUGGGGAUCGAACAGGAUUAGAUACCCGGGUAGUC